CGGUAAAGGCGAUGUGGCGUUUGCGGCUUCAACGACUUUAACAAUGAGACGUCGCUGAAUGCUGAGGUCUUAAGGAACAGGAUGGACCCUGCUACCCAGCUUCUCUGACCUUUUGAUAAAGGCUAAAAAGAAUUGCUAAAUAUUAAUAGGUAUUAAUGACCUGAGUGCGUUCUGGUCUCCGUUUUGCCCCCAAGGAGACAUCAGAUGACUGGCGCUUUGUCUCACAGUAGUGCUCUUGGUCUACUGAUGUCUUGUUCAUUAGGAGUGGUUUUUCCAGUCCAUUUUUUGAAGAUGGCCAUUAAUGAGGCAGGGCCAUUCAUGCUAUGGCAUCCUUGGCAUCACGCUCGAUAUCUGAGGCUGAAGUCUCAGUCUUCAAUUAUGUUGUGCUCCAGGCUGAUUGCAGUCCAACCCAAUGCAAUAUCAUUACCAUGCAGGUAGUCUAGAAAUCACUGCUUGCCUUUCAUUUUUAUUUAGGUACUUAAUAAUUUUGUCAGACAAAUUAGAUUUGUAGUUAUUUGUUUUAUAAGUUAUGUGAAGGAAUCGUAACUUCGGGGGGGUGAAAUCCAUCUAGCUCUCUGCUGAAGAUGGAACAGGCUUGUGUGUUUAAUGAAAGAAAGGUCCUCUUCUAGGUGCUUGAUGUAAAUGGACAUGACUCCAAUAAAGCAGUGGGGGCUUCCUGGGGUGUACAUGACUUCCCUCUCC